GAACGCUGGCGGCAAGCUUAACACAUGCAAGUCGAACGGAUUUUUGUCGUAGCUUGCUAUGAUAAAAAUUAGUGGCAGACGGGUGAGUAAUGCAUAGGAAUCUACCUAGUAGUAUGGGAUAGCCACUAGAAAUGGUGGGUAAUACUGUAUAAUCCCUGCGGGGGAAAGAUUUAUCGCUAUUAGAUGAGCCUAUGUUAGAUUAGCUAGUUGGUAGGGUAAAGGCCUACCAAGGCAGUGAUCUAUAGCUGGUCUGAGAGGAUGAUCAGCCACACUGGAACUGAGAUACGGUC
rnacentral:rRNA from 1 species